UGAAUUUUGUUUUUUAGUUGUAGUUACAAGCAACCCUCUUCAACCCAUGUAUUCUUUCAAUGAAUAUUUGCUGAGUGCCUUCCAUGUACCAGGUUUGGGGAUACAGUGGGGAAGGCCGUAAGCUUGGGAGGGAUACAGACAAGUUCUAAUAAACAGUACCUACUUCACCUCUCUGUACCAGAUGCAGUGCUGGUUGCCUUAAAUACAUGGGAAGGUGCUAUUAUCUCCACUGUACAAUGAAGAAGCUGAGGCCCAAAGAAGUUCCAAAGCCAAGGUCAUGCUGGACCGUGGAGGUGUCAAUGGAUGUGUCAAGCCCAGAAGGUUCCAGCUGCAGCUGACAUAUCGAGGGCCCCUCUGUCCCACGCGCAGUGUCGGUGGAUAAAUGUGUCACCCUAUGGGCAGACGGGCCGAUGUCAGUCUCUGACUCCCAAAGGCUGAGCACCCACUCCCGCUCCGGGACCUUGAGGGGCCGAUUGCAUCUAUGAUAAAAUCACCAUGAACACCAUAGCUACAAAUGCAAAUUGUAGACUGUUAUUGGCAACUCGAUUCCACCUGCAGCAUUGCUUCUGUGACAUGAUUUUCUGAAACGGCGAAUAAUGUUGAAGCUCUCAAAAAAAUAAAGUAUA